rnacentral:lncRNA from 1 species
UUGUUUAGCCUUGGGCGGACAAGGGAGGUGCUGUUGUCAUGCCCCGCGACCGCCCGCCUAUUUGGCCGGGUCGCGGCGCCGCAACAGACCGCCGAACGGACAGGGUUUCCCCUGUAUCGCGGACAGAGUCUCCCCUGUGCAUUUAAGGCGUCGCAAUCAAUACAAUGUACAAAGUUCCAACCAGGAACACAUUUCAAUCAAAGAUUGCAUAAGGAAGUAUCAAAAACAUAAUCUACUUGUUAUUACAAGCAUUCACAAAAUACAUUUUACAUCACAAUUACUUAUUACAUUUAACUUCCAAAUACAAUCGAGCUUUUAUUACAUAUUAUUACAACUUAUUCUUUUCAUUUUCUUACAUCCCUAAGUAAAGGCCGAUUCAGGGUACCGCUAUCUCUGGUCUCGGUGGUAGGGCGCUAACUAUGGAGCUACGCCCUCGCCUCGCGCCGCCGCGCCGCUCACGUGUGAACCUGUAACACCCCAAAACAACGUGGGGUGAGAACCAACUCCAUGGUUCCCAGUGGGUACGGCCACCCAAGGAAAAAGCUCGACCAAUAGGUCCAAGGAAGGCAACUGCAAGUUAGUUCAAUAAAUAGAUAGAUAUAUAUCUUGAUUAUGCAACAAAUGAAACCAUGCAUUGCCUCACGAAUGCAAUAUGAAGAUCAUGCAAUGAUGCGACCAUACAAUCAACUAGUAAUUCAAUCGAUUACUACUUUCAUCCAAUUGACAUUUAAGGUUGUCUGUCAUUUACCAUUUUAAUCAUAAGGUCUCAUUUACCUUUAUCAACUAUCCACCCGACUCGGUCUUGAGUCAAUCAUUCGCGUAGUACCGCGCAAAGGCAGGCUCGAGGCGAAGGACGUCUCACUUGCACCUCAGCCUUAAGUCCACUCAACUAGGAUAUUAUUAUAGCUCAUAAGUUUAUUACCCAAUCACUUGGCUAACCCAAAGGUUUCGCCCUCAACAAACUCACCAACCCAAAAUCCCAUUAACCGGGGAGAUACCCGCUACAACCCGGUGGGACCGUCCUCUGGGGAGAUACCCGCUACAACCCAGUGAUGUCGACUCCGGAGCACAUCGCCCGAGGGGGAGCUACCACAACCUCGAGCAAGGACUAAAGGUGAGUAUGAUCAAUCCUACAUUGGAGGAUUCCAAGUUCAAUCCAUUCCUUAACUUUAGGAAGACUAUGCUCAAAUGACCCUAACUCUAGGGUUGAAAUGUCAUAAUAUUUCCAUCAUUCUUUUCUUUGCAUUCUUUACUAUCACUUGUGUCAUAUACACUACUAUAUUCUUGGACUCAUGCCACACUUGUUUUCUAAGUGUUCAACAUACCAUAAGUGUUUCCACUAUACUAAUCAUAUGCCACUCGAUCUAAUAUAUAUAGAUUGUCCACGUCACAUAUCAUAGUUCAUAUGUCAUUGUUUUUCAAUGUCGAGUUCUCUAAUUCACCUAGAGUUUAUCGACCCAAGUUCAACAUGCAUGUGUCAUUUAACAUAAUCCACAAUAUGUCAAUAUACAUUCAUCUAGUAUAUUCUACAAUAAAUCAACAUGCACUCAUUCAUCAUAUUCCACAAUAUGUCUACAUAUAUAUGCCAACCAUUCAUAUGCCAUCCAACAUGUUCCAUAAUUUAUCAACAUGCAUAUUACCUCUAACAUAUUACUAUAACAUUAUUUUCAUGCAUUCAUGUAACAAUUAACUCAUGCAUUCAUCUAGCAUUAUUUAACUUGCAUCUUAUCAUUACGCAUUUCUACUUGGCAUUUACAUUAACAUGCAUCAUUUUCAUACUUCAUUUACAUCUAUAUGCAUCAACAUGGAUUCUUAAUUUGCUUAGACAUAAAGGCGACCUAGUCGCUUCGGUAAGCACAACCCACCUUAACUCGCGUUCCGAUUGCUUGUCGACACUUGCAAUCGGCCUCCCGCGGCACCCGUAUCCGGCACGGCCCGAUAUCGCAACUGCGCCUCAACCGUGCUCCGCUUCGCAGCCCCGAAAAUUAUAGGUCUUCGGUUAUGUGCCACGAUGCCUCAAAUCCAUUUCCAUGAUUUUACGACGUCGCCUCGGCCCUCCCGGCGGACCCGAAGCCUAAACGUCCAUUUCUUUAAUAACUUUGUAACGGCUCGUCGGAUUGCCGAACCGUCUUCGCCAACGCGUUCGUUUACCUAGCAAUUUGAUUUACGGAGGGUCAAAUGAGAUCAAAUCCAUAUAUUUUACAAAACCCCAUUCGGAGCCCUAACAUGCAAUUAACCUCUAAAUAGUCCAAAUUAAAUAGAGAGAGCAUGUUUAGAAUGCUCAUUAGAGACUAUUAGAACACUUAGAACUAAGCAUUAAGCCAAAUUCUAAAAGCUUACCUCAAUGUGAACGCCGCGAUGAAAACACGCCGCUCCAACGGGCGCACGAAAGCUCAAUCCGUCGCCUCCAACGCGUUCGCAAGCAUCUUCUCCACCAACCCCGCGAAUUUGAGCGAGAGAUAUAGAGAGAUGAGAGAGAUCUCUAGAGAGAGAAAGGAGGGUUCUCUCCCCCCUCUCCAUGCGUGCGUGUGAUGGUCGGCCGAAUGAGGAAGAAGAAGCUUCAGUUUAACACCUCCAACACUAUUCACUCCAGGCAGCUUGAAAUUUGAUAUCUUUCGCCGGAACUCUCAGAAUGUCCGUUUGAGCUCAAACUUGACAGUCAUGUUCGAUUUUACGUACUGAGUAAGAAUAUAUUUUAAGUUUUCAGUUUUGACCUCGUUUGGUCACUGAAAACUGUACCGAACUGUAAUCUUUAUCAGAUAGCUGUCGGAUUUUAUUUCUCACUCUACGUGUGUCAGAAAAAUAUGAAACUUUAGAUCUAUUCUCAUAAAAAUAUUUCUGACUUAUUCUACAAUUUUCAUAAUUUUCUGAGACUGUGCAUUUUCUGCUAAUUUAUCUGUCCCGUUUCCAACAGAAAAUUAUAAAUCUUCUGUUUUCAUUCCGAUUUCAGCACAAAUCACUUCUGACUUAUGUUUUACUUCUACAAAUCUAAUAAAAAUAGUUUCUCACACUAUUUUUAUUUAUUUUUAUUUUUAUACCAAAAUCUGGUAUGUUACAGCUGUCGUUCGGCGUUUGUUCGACGUGCCCGAACCAACCAAAUUGGCGGUUGCGGGGUGUGACAGUAUAAGUCUAGAUUUGACUAUGUAUCAGGCGCUGACCAAUGAGGCUGUGUUUGGUUCGGGUAUAAGUAAGAACUGUUUAUCCCAGGAAUAGGUAUAAGUUCAGGUAAAAGCAUGAACUUAACUAAUUUUGCGUUUAGGUGAAAAUUGGGUUGUUCCGAGGAAUAAAGCAAAUAGUAUUUGGUUAGAUAGAUUGGAACAAAGAGAAUAAGAGUUACAAUUUUAAAUUAAAAUUAUUUUAUCUAAUUAAUUAGCAUCAAAAUAUUAAUUAAAAAUAAUAAAUUAAUAUUAAUAAUUAUAAAUAAUAAAUUAUUAAUAAUUAUAAAUUAUAACUCUUAUUNUAAAAAUAAUAAAUUAAUAUUAAUAAUUAUAAAUAAUAAAUUAUUAAUAAUUAUAAAUUAUAAAAAUAAUAAUAAUAAAUAAAUAAAUAAAUAAAUAAUUAACUAAAUAAUAAUAAAUUCAUUAGAUAAUAUAGUAUAAAUAAUAAAUUAAUAAUAAUCAUAAAUAAUAAAUUAUUAAUAAUUAUAAAUAAUAAAAUAUUACUAAUUGUAAAUUUAUAAAUUAAUUAAUAAUUAAUAAAAUUAUUAAUUAAUUAAUUAUUAAUACUUAUAAAUAAUAAUACAUUAAUUAAUAAUAAAUUAAUUAUAAAUUAAUAAACUAAUUAAUAAUUAAUUAAUUAUAAAUUAAUUAAUAAAUAAAUAAAUUAUUAAUAUAUAUAACAAUAAUAAUUUUAUUAAUAAUUAUAAAUAAUAAAUAAAUAAAUUAUUUUAUUAUUUAAGCUACAAAUAAUUAUUUAAUAUAUUAAUUAGAUUAAUUAAUGCUUUAAUAUCAUAACUAAAUUAAAUUUAGAUUUUAAUUAACGUUGUUCCUACCUAUAAACAAGCUUGUUCCAGCAAAAAUGGUGGAACAACAAUUCCAGUCUUAUACCAGUUUAUUUCAGAAAUUCGAAAACAGUACUUAUACCAGUUUAUUUCAGAAAUUCGAAAACUACUGUUUUCGGGUACCAAACGCAUCGUUUGGAAACAAAGGGGAAAACAAAGCCUUAUUCUCUAUUGUUCCCGAACCAAACAUUGUCUUAUAAAUCGCCUUGAAUAAAUCACAUGGACCACAUUUCAACAGUCACCACUAUCAUUCUAACACUACAAAUUAAUCCUUUAUUUAAGGACCAAAAUAUCAGAAACAUCAACUUUUUUAUACUUUCGAAAGUAUAGUAUCUCUCUCUCUCUAUAUAUAUACACACACACCUAUUGUU